UACGUAGGGCGCAAGCGUUAUCCGGAAUUAUUGGGCGUAAAGAGCUCGUAGGCGGUUUGUCGCGUCUGCCGUGAAAGUCCCGGGGCUUAACCCGGUCCGUGCAUGAUGCGGGCUAGCUAGGUGUGGUAGGGGAGAUGGAAUUCCUGGUGUAGCGGUGAAAUGCGCAGAUAUCAGGAGGAACACCGGUGGCGAAGGCGGUUCUCUGGGCAUGUCCUGACGCUGAGGAGCGAAAGUGUGGGGAGCGAACAGG
rnacentral:rRNA from 1 species